GUGACAGUUUUGGGGACAGGACAGGGUGACAGUUUUGGGGACAGGGUGACAUUUUUGGGACAGCCGUACCGUGGCGGUGGCCGCGCCGUCCUGUCCUGCCCGGCACAGAACCAGGCGAUGGUGGGGACGGGACAGGGUGACAGUUUUGGGGACAGGACAGGGUGACAGUUUUGGGGACAGGGUGACAUUUUUGGGACAGCCGUACCGUGGCGGUGACAGCACCAUCCUGCUGCUGCCCAGCACAGAACCAGGUGAUGGUGGGGACAGGACAGAGCAGGACAGGGCAGGACAGGGUGGAUGGCAGGGGACAGGGUGACAGUUUUGGGGACAGGACAGGGUGACAGUUUUGGGGACAGGGUGACAUUUUUGGGACAGCCGUACCGUGGCGGUGACAGCACCAUCCUGCUGCUGCCCAGCACAGAACCAGGUGAUGGUGGGGACAGGACAGAGCAGGACAGGGCAGGACAGGGUGGAUGGCAGGGGACAGGGUGACAGUUUUGGGGACAGGACAGGGUGACAGUUUUGGGGACAGGGUGACAUUUUUGGGACAGCCGUACCGUGGCGGUGACAGCACCAUCCUGCUGCUGCCCAGCACAGAACCAGGUGAUGGUGGGGACAGGACAGAGCAGGACAGGGCAGGACAGGGUGGAUGGCAGGGGACAGGGUGACAGUUUUGGGGACAGGACAGGGUGACAGUUUUGGGGACAGGGUGACAUUUUUGGGACAGCCGUACCGUGGCGGUGACAGCAGUCGGGGUUGAUUUAGGGGCAGGUUUGGGGUGGGAAAUGGGGAGUUUUUUGGACCGGUUUGGGUCAUGUUGUAAAGGACCGCUGGUGAUUUGGGGGUUCGGGGAGGGGGACACUGGGGACACUGGGGACAUUGGGGACACUGGGGACACUGGGAACAUUGGGAUCAGUGUGGGACACUGGGGACAUAGUGGGGACACUGGGACGGUGCUGCCCUCCCUGAGCACAGUGAGACUGGGGACACUGGGACACGGGGACACAGGGAUACGGGGACAUGGUGACACUGGGGACACGGGGACACGGGGCCAGCCCUCACUGAGCACGGUGACAUUGGGGACAUUGGGGACACUGGGACAUGGUGACAUUGGGGACAUUGGGGACACGGGGCCAGCCCUCACUGAGCACGGUGAGCCGGGCGCGGCGCGAGCGCAGCGCGGCCUCGGUGGCCUGGCACUCGUAGGCGGCGUCAUCGGAGAGCUCGGCCCGGCUGAUCUCCAGGUUGUGCUGGCCCGAGUCGGCCGCGCCCACGAUGCGGUACCGGGGCCAGGCUGGGGGGAUGGGAACGGGGUCACACGGGGUCACCCCGAACGCCCCAAACCCGCAGGGACACCCCAAACCCGCAGGGACACCCCAAUCCCAUGCCCAGGUUUUGGGGACAGCACCAGCGUCACGUGGGAACACCCCCAGAGCCACCCGUCCCCUCGUGGUGUCACCCCGAAGCCGCCCCUGCCCCACAGGUGCCACCCCCGUCCCCCAGGUACCUUUGAGGCCCUGC
rnacentral:lncRNA from 12 species